rnacentral:rRNA from 1 species
UACGAAGGGGGCUAGCGUUGUUCGGAAUUACUGGGCGUAAAGGGCGCGUAGGCGGUGUGUCAAGUCAGGCGUGAAAGCCCCGGGCUCAACCUGGGAACAGCGCUUGAGACUGGCACGCUCGAGUUCGGGAGAGGAUGGUGGAAUUCCCGGUGUAGAGGUGAAAUUCGUAGAUAUCGGGAGGAACACCGGUGGCGAAGGCGGCGAUCUGGGUAGAUACUGACGCUGAGGUGCGAAAGCGUGGGGAGCAAACAGG